rnacentral:lncRNA from 1 species
CCUCCUCCAGCUUCUAGCAACUAUUAAUCUGCUGUCAGUCUCUAUGGAUUUGCCCAUUCUGGAUAUGUCACAUGGAUGCAAUCACAUUGUGAUUAUUUAAUGGACUGUCUCAUUCGAUCCUCAUAACCAGGCUAUGAGAUAGAUGUUAUUUAUCCCUUUAACAGGUGCAGAAAAUUAGGCUGUGAGAAGGCAAUUGGCCUGAAGUCCUGGAGAAGAAGAAAAUAAGCAAAAGGUCCACACAUCCACCUGUCAAUCCAUAAGUGAAAGAAAAUUUCUUGAAUGCCCAUGAGAGAUCCACAUCCGGUCCAUCCUGCUCACAUUGUAAAACAGGAGAAGGCAAUCUGCUGGAUGCCCCCGUAACCUGGAGAACAGAGAGAAGGCUGGAUAUCAACUUCUGCUGGCUCUUCAGCCAGGAGCUCUGAUGCAGUGAGCAACUUCCAUGACAGCCCUGGCAACCAUGUGGUCCGCUCUGAGCAAGCUACUAGGAUUAGAGUUAGUGUCAUUGUAAAGCUUUUAUUCUAAUAGAGAAGAUGGACAGUACAGAAUUAAAGAAACAAAUAAGACUAUUUCAGAUGGUGGUGAGUGUUAUGGAGAAAAUAGCUUCAUGUGAACAUGAGAAGAGAUUGCUACUUUAGAUGAUCUCACUUAAGAUCAUCUAAAGAGGGGACUCAUUUAAGAGGGAACCUUUGAACCAGGAUCUAGAUAAGAGUAAGAUAGCAACUACACUAAAGUCUGGAGAAAGAGCAUUCCGGGCAGAGGGAACACACAGGAAGACACUAAGAGGUGGGAGCGUGACUGGCUGGUUCAAGUGGACAGAAAGGAGCCUGGGAGUGGAGUGCAGGAAGGUGACUGGGGGAGAGUCCUCAUCCCCCGUGGACCUCAUUCACUGCUGGUUUGCCUCCAGCAGGCCAGGAUAGAGCAGAGAGGCAAGCUAGAGAGCUGGUGCAGUCAUCCAGGGAGAGGAGAUGUUGUUUGGGGGAAGACAAGGGGCCUGGCUGUGGGAGAAAUCCUCAGGUCACAGAUAUAUUUAAAGGUGAAACUGAUAAGACUCGUUGACUGGGUGUGGAUUGGAGUUAAAAAGAAAGAAAAAAAAACAAGAAUUUUGGGCUGAACAACUGGAAGACUGGAUCUGUGGUUUGCUAAAGCAGGGACAGGAUCUGGAGGGAAAGCAGAACCUGCGAGACAACCCAGUAGCACACCAAGUAGGUGUAGCAUGAACUAGCCUGGAUACACCACCCCCUCGAGUAAGAGAACCAGCAAAAUGUACAUGAUUUUUCAAGUCAGGCAUCUGGGUGAGGAGAGAGGUGGAGAGGAGAGAGAGGCGCUCUGGAAUAGGCCAGGAAGAGAGGUCAAGGUGGGGAGGAAAAGCUGGAAAGAAGCCUAGGGAAUGGCCGGUACAGUAAGAGGCGUCCAGUCCAGAGAAGCAAGCACUGCAAGGGCAAGGGAUUGGUUAUCGAUGUCAAUGCUGCAGAUAGGUCAAUUAACAUGCGGGCUGAGAAUCAACCUUUAAAUUGGCAAAGUGAAAGUCAUGGUUGUUGGGAAAACAUAUAACGGCGGCAGCACCCCCGAGAAAAACUCCAACAUGGCGCCUAACAACCUUCUUUCUCCUUUUU